CUCAGGAGCACACCGGGAAGUUUGGAAGAAACUUAUCUAACAUCAGCUGUGCUCAGAUUCCAAAAUGCAGCUGGUUCCAAGCAGAACUGGGAGGGCCCAAGGUGCUUGAGUCUUCUGAACAGAACUGAUUCACUUGUCUCUAAACCUGGGGGCAGAAAUAUCAUCUUCUGAAUGACUCAUCCCAGAGAAAAUGGAAACGUUGCUGUAGAUAUGGGAAAACAGCCUGAGGCUGCAAGAUACCCAAAACGAGGAAACAGAAGGCAAUUGCCUAAGAUGUUGUGAGAAUGAAAUAAACAAGAUUCUUCAUGCCAUAAUAACUGCUGACUUUUAAAAGGGUCAUGACAACCUGAUUUCCAUUUCAUUGGCAUUUAGGCACUGUAUUCCCACGGAUUCUCUGAAGAAACAUAAUUUAGAGCUUUACUGGAGCCUACACAGCAGACUGAGUCCUCUACUGAACGAAGAAGGUCAGCAGCACGAGCAUUUUGGUGUUACAGCAAAAGCAAGUGAAAAGGUGCAGUGUAGUAACAAAAGCUCACAUUUAGAGUGUCCUCAGUGGAACAAUGGUGAAACCACUGGUGAAACCUGUUAUCUUGCUCUUGGUUCAAAGCAUGGUCUCACAAUUGAGAAGUUCAGAAGUGCUCAUGGAAAGUUACCAUAAAAUAUGAGAUCAAACAUACGCUCCUGAACAGGAGGAGAAGAAAAGCUCUGUUUAUUCUGUUUGUCCGAAAAGUUAGAUCUCUCUUUAUCAAGAUUUACACCUUCCCUACGUCAACAUGCAUAGGCAACCACUUGUCUCUGUGCACCUCAAGUCCCCAGAGCUUGCUUACACUGCAUUCCCUAGAAUCCACGAUGGCAGUGGCUGUAGUAAUGCAGAGCUAAGGAAGAAAGUCUUGUCAUUUAUGCUCACUUGAUUUCCUCUCGUAAAUAGAGUGGUGCAAAGAGGCUUAGUUUGUAUGAGAAGCAGAGCACUGUGCGAAUGAACCAGUGAGCAAAGGUGUGUUCGUGUAUAUGUGCAUUGUGGUGAGCAAGAAGUUGGAAGGAAAUGGUCAGGAAAUGCAUCCCAGCCAAAAAUGGGUUUCGAAGUGCAGAGCUGCUUGACUUGCAUAGGGACUGCUGCUCUAUGCAUGCAGGUGUAUCUCUGGGCAGUUAUUUAUAAGGACAACAAGAAGCUCUUGUAUGGCUUCAUGCUCCACACUCAUCCUCCCCCUUACCCAAAGCUCUGGAAGCACAAAGUCACCAGGCUUAAUUCAAAUAGGGCACAGUUCUGGGGAUUAAACUGAAGUUUGAGAUUUUAACAGAAAGACUGACAUCCUCACUGCAUUGACACCUAUGGCAGGAUUCUAAUUUCUUAUCGAAUUACCAACACCUCUGGCAGAUUUUUAAUUUCCUAUCAGAAUCUUUUCUAUCACAAACACGAUGAGACUGAUGAGCAUGAAUAACAGCGAUGUGGCUGAGAUCUCAUAGCCUAAAGUUUUGGCAGACACUGCAUUGUAGAAAUUUGCUUUCAAGGCAUUCAUCAGCAGGACAGAUUUUCUGAAAUGUGCUAAAAUGUGCUAAGUAGAUUUCAGUUUUAUAAAUAACAUAUUCGAAGGAUCAAAUACGCUUUGAUUUGCAUUGGGAGAUACAUGGCAGCUGCCAUGUAAGCUAUGUUCCAUGUCCGGAAUAAUUUCCCAUCAAAUUUCAUUCGGACAGGCCAAUUUACUGAAUAAAUUGCAGAAUAAACAGCACUGUUUGAAUAAGCUGUUAUCUUGGCAGUUGUCUUAGUGACCUGGCUCCCGAUUUCUUCCUCCCAUCAGAAGCUGGCUGGCAGUCCAAGGCGAGAAUUGAUAGUAAAACCUCCCUGCAAUGACAAAGAAGGCACCAGAAGGGCUACAAGUCUAGUGAGCUCCAUGUCCCCUGUCCUUUGCUUUCUGGUACCUACCAGUCCACUGCAGGGUUGUGGGAUAGAAUCACAGAAUCCCUGAAUCUAGUUGGAAGGGACCUUUAAAGGCCAUCUGGUCCAAUUCCAACAGGGACAUACAAUCAUCGAAUCACAGAAUGGCCUGGGUUGAAAAGGACCAUAAUGAUCAUGUAGUUCCAACCCUGCUGCUGUGUGCAGGGUUGCCAACCACUAGACCAGGCUACAUGCUGGACAUCACCACUAGACAUUUACAGCUCAGUCAGGUUGCUCAGAGCCCCAUCCAGCCUGACCUUGAAUGUCUUUAGGGAUGGGGCAUCCACCACCUCUCUGGGCAACCUGUUCCAAUGUCCUAGCCAGUUCUGCCUUCACGAGAUGGCAAUGGGCAACAAUGAUCAAUUAGUGCAAAAUGAGCCAAGAUCUGGAGGCGAUUUUCUGCCCUAACCAGGGUUAGAAGAUCUCACCCCAGCAACGUUCCUGCUUUACUUUGUUUAUGGGCUGGGCUGCCACAUAUUUAUACCUUCCAAAUGCCACCACAAGCAAAAGAUUUUCUCACACACACGACAGGGAAGCUUUUGUUUAAAUUCUGCAGUUACUGAUGGGGAUAUUGAGCACACCAUUUUGCAAGGUGCAUGAGAGUACCAUUCUGCUCAAGUCUGUACUUUCCGGAAAAUAAAGGUGGAUUGCCAGAA